GCCUGGUGGUUCCUAUAGUCAGCUCCAAAGUGCUGAACUGUGGGGUUUUGUAGACAGGCAAAUAGUGAUUCUGCAGUUUUAUGCAUGGAAGCUGCCACUAUAGCAACUUUCCAUAGCCCGGUUGCAGAGACAUUU
rnacentral:snoRNA from 1 species